GUGGGGAAUAUUGGACAAUGGGCGAAAGCCUGAUCCAGCCAUGCCGCGUGAGUGAAGAAGGCCUUCGGGUUGUAAAGCUCUUUUGUUGGGAAAGAAAAGCAGCUGGUUAAUACCCGGUUGUUCUGACGGUACCCAAAGAAUAAGCACCGGCUAACUUCGUGCCAGCAGCCGCGGUAAUACGAAGGGUGCAAGCGUUACUCGGAAUUACUGGGCGUAAAGCGUGCGUAGGUGGUUUGUUAAGUCUGAUGUGAAAGCCCUGGGCUCAACCUGGGAAUUGCACUGGAUACUGGCGAGCUAGAGUGCGGGAGAGGAUGGCGGAAUUCCUGGUGUAGCAGUGAAAUGCGUAGAUAUCAGGAGGAACAUCCGUGGCGAAGGCGGCCAUCUGGACCAGCACUGACACUGAGGCACGAAAGCGUGGGGAGCAAACAGG
rnacentral:rRNA from 1 species